AGAGUUUGAUCCUGGCUCAGAUUGAACGCUGGCGGUAUGCUUUACACAUGCAAGUCGAACGGAUUAAGAAGCUUGCUUCUUAGUUAGUGGCGAACGGGUGAGUAAUAUAUCGGAACAUGUCCGGAAGUGGGGGAUAACGUAGCGAAAGUUACGCUAAUACCGCAUAUGCCCUGAGGGGGAAAGGAGGGGAUCGCAAGACCUUUCGCUUUCGGAGUGGCCGAUACCGGAUUAGCUAGUAGGUGAGGUAAAGGCUCACCUAGGCGACGAUCCGUAGCUGGUCUGAGAGGACGACCAGCCACACUGGAACUGAGACACGGUCCAGACUCCUACGGGAGGCAGCAGUGGGGAAUUUUGGACAAUGGGCGCAAGCCUGAUCCAGCCAUACCGCGUGAGUGAAGAAGGCCUUCGGGUUGUAAAGCUCUUUCAGACGGAAAGAAACGGUCGCGGCUAAUACCCGCGACUAAUGACGGUACCGUAAGAAGAAGCACCGGCUAACUACGUGCCAGCAGCCGCGGUAAA
rnacentral:rRNA from 1 species